AUACCCCAGAUGUUAAAUGUUACAGCAGCAGAUGGGGGUCUGUGGAGGUUGAAAGGGAGUUGGUCAAUAUCAAGGAGUCAGUGGCAGUUCUGCUGGACUUUAAAAUGGGCUGAGGGAGUGACAGGACUCUGUGGUUGAAUUCUAGCAUGCAUUUUAGUAGUUGCUCAUUUGAAGUUUGAGUAUUUCGUGUCGCUUUCAUCUGCUAUUACCUGGAAAGACAAAGGCUCUAUUUCUCAUUUCCUUUCUGCCCGUCUCUCUGCCUUCCUUGGUCCAUAGAAGAGGAUGGCCCAGGAGAAGCUCAAUUCAUGCUUGUUAACCAACCACAUCCAUAAGUUCUAGCCCUUUGUUCAUGUCACCACCAAUGAACUGACAGUCAUGUUGUGUCCUUUCAGUUCCCCCAGAAGAUCAAUGGAAGGUGGAUUCCAAAGAGUGGGCAAGUGAGGACCCCUUCUCUGUUACCAAGGUGACCCCAAGGAACACAGUAAAUGUGGCGGCUUAUUUGGCCUCCCCAGGACGGACUGGAGCAUCAGUAGUGCCUGAGUUCAUCAAAGGACAGAUGCUCAAGACACCUUGAUCACCAUUAGGUGGAAUUGAAGGAGCCAAAAAUGGGCGCAGUGGCUCCUCAGCAGAGACGCUCCUGAAUGUAUAGACAUGGGAACCACUUUCAGCAUCAAAAAAGGAAACGUUCUGCAUGCCCAUAUCCAGAAAAAUCCCCACUCGCUGUAACUUGCGGUCUACUAAGAGGAAAGUCAGCGGCACCGUGCUGGCAGAGAGGCGGCUUCCAUCCCUCAAACUCACAGUCCAGAAUCCAAGCUCUGUGGUCAGCUGGAUCUUCCCUUUGCAGUGAACAGAUUCUCUGCAGACUCCCAGGUCCCAUUCUGUGCUUGUUCCCACGUCCACCUCCCAGUAGUGGCGGCCACAGGUAAAGCGAGGGGAGCCCAGGAUGCAAACGGACACGUCAAAUCUCUCGGCAAGGUCUUGCCGAUUCUGUGUGAUGAGCCCACUUCGGACGCUCCUGAGGUCGUCAGAAAUGAGGAGGAAGUUGUUGGCUGUGUCGGCAUCCAAGGUCAUAUCCACUGUGAAAAGGAAAACAAGUUGCUCAGCAAGUGGACAGAAGCCAACCCCAUGCCUCUCUUCUACUUCAAAGGCCCAAAUAUCUCCUGACUUUAGUUUCUUUAAUUCUGUUUCUUCCUCCAAAAUCAAAACUUUUCAUGAGGAAACUUCCCUAUUUCAAAUUUUCAU
rnacentral:lncRNA from 1 species